rnacentral:misc_RNA from 1 species
GGGAAACAAACAAACAAAACUAAGACAUCCUUGUGGAGACGUACAACAAUGGUUUGGAAAAGUAAAACUUAGAAGGGGUAAAAAUCUAAAAGAACAAUAACUCAUUAUACUACAAGAAAAUAAAAUAACAAAUAUAACUUGAGAACUUUGGAACAUCUCAUUUGAAUCGAUUCUCUAACGAUGGAUUAGAACAAAUAACAAUUG